AUUGGUUGAGAGACCGAGCACAAGCCUUCAUUAGCCCUGUCCCUCUAAACAAGCCCAUCACAGACGAGGGGAAAAGGAACGACGUCUCCUCCGUGGACUGUAGGAACUGAGGAGCUUGUGUUCCCGGAGGAUUGAGUCUGAUAUUUCACGGAGAACUGCACGAUGUUCGGGACGUUCUGGGGCAUGGAUAGGCAUCUCCAUACCCUCGCUGGGACAUACUAUUCUCCAGAUCCACCCUCCCUUGAAUCAGAGGCAUCUUUUAAGUUUUGUGGAGAUUGGGUGACCCUUCCCUGAUCAUCCACCUCCUGCUCCUCCCACAUAUCUUUUGGGAGAACCCCUUUGGGCAGAUUCUGGACAGUUGGUGAUGGGAUUUCAUUGAUCAUGGAUUGAAAAGGACCCUAGGGACAAUAUAGUUCCACCUUAUUUUUACAGAUGAAGAAACCGAGCCUGUAAGUGUUCAUGGUCACACGGGCGGGGGAAAGUAAGGAGACUAGGUUCUGAACCUUUGUCCCAACUCCAAAUGUAGGGAUCUGUCCAUGGCACCAAGAAGCAGUAGAUACUGGAAACCCACCUAUUUUAUAGUAGGGAAAACAGGCUUCAAUAAAAGCAGACCUCUUCAUUUUCCCAGGAAAUUUUCCAGCGUUUCCAAUAUUUUACUGGACCAAGAAUGUUUUAGUAGAAAACUUUCCUAACUCAAUUCCAAGAUAUAUUACCUUUCAGGGUUGCUGUGAGACCUAAAGAGGCAAUUGUAAAAUCCUUUGCAAAUCUUUAAAAGCUCUUAUUUUGCUUCCUUGUUAAAUUGGAAACGCCUUAAAAACUAGGGCUGAUUUUUUGUUUUGAGGUUUUUCUUUGCAUUUCAGUUCUUGGCACAUAGUCUGUGCUUAUUAAUAAAUGCCAGUUGUUUACAAGAAAGCCUUCCUAAUUCAAUUAAACAAAUAACGGUGAUAGUAUAUACAUUUAAGACAGUUUAUUUAAGAUAACAAAUGUUCAAGGUAGAUGUUAAUUCAAGGAAAUUAGUAAGUCCUGUCCUAAAGGUCAUUUGUCUUGUUAUCAAGUAAUGUGCCUAUUAGGACAGGAACUCAUAUCUCCUUAACACAUUGUAGCUUAGACCUAAACUCAAAAGCUUUCCUCUACUCGCCAGAAUUUAAAUUACACUAUUGCCCAGGCUCUAUAUUAGAACCAAUGCCUUACAAAUAGGGAAGGAUAAUCUGUAUCAUCAACGUUCAACAAGAAUAUGCCACUGGGGAUAUGCAUCCUGAGAGCCAUAUGCAGUAACUUAGAAGUAUUUGGAGUGUUACAAAUAAUAGCUUUAACUUCUAAAGGCAUCUGGCAAAUACACAAUUUGUUUGUGAGCAAAUUAAUAACUUUUCCUCUAGAGUGUGAAGAUUGGCUUUUUUCAUCAAAAUCAUGAUUAUUAGAAAUCACAGGUACACUCAAAAAAGGAAGAUGGUUUUGGGAUUAAGAAACUCAAGAUAUAGAACUUGUUACCCUACUUGUAAUAGGCAGAAAAAAGAAUAAUUAAGAUUUAAAACUAUAUAGUCAUAGGUCCUUAGGGGGAUACCAAAGAAAAUUUUUUUAAGUGAUGGGUAUCAUAGAUGAUAGCCCACCAAAAUAAACCAUACCAGACAUCCAAGUCCAUUCAGAUAAUAUGACCUUGCCUGGAAUUUCUUGUAUGUGAGGCAGUAAAGUAAGGUGGGAAAUGGAGCUUACAGGAAGGGCUAAAAAAUCCCCAAUUCCUCUGCAGGGGAAGAGAAUCUAAGGAGGCCAUCUAGGCUCAUUCAGAUGAAAGGACCUCAGAAUUCAACCCCUCCCCCUUCGUGUCACCCUAUACCAGAUAAAAGACCAGUAUCAGUACCUAGAGCCAGAAAGGGCCUUAGAGACUAUCCAGUCCCACUCAUUUAGCAUAUGAAUGAAAAGCUUUUAUUUAGGGCUUACUAAGUGCCAAGUACAGUGCUAAUAAAGAUUAAAAACUGAGGUCUAAAGUAGGACUGUAACUUGCCCAAGGUCAUACUGGUAAUAGGCAGCAGGGCUGGGGUUCCAAAUCCAGUGUUCUUUCCACUAUGCAGGGAUGCAGGCUGUUCUCUCACCUCUGGGAAGUCGGGCUUGUUACUUCUUUCCAUUUCCAUCCAUUGCUGCAUAGCUCUGAUUGUUAGAAAAUGUUUUCUUUUAUCAAGUCAAAAAUGCUAACUUCAUUCUCAGCACUAGGCUUCUAACUCCGAUAAACCCCCUAGGAGGUGGUGUUUCCUUCUUCCAUGUAAAGUAACCACAGCUCUUCUACCCACUGGCCAGGUCCCUUCUGCCAAAGUGAUGGCAUUUCUGUAGCACAGAAACCCUCUGGGCAUUGCCCCUCAUUGCUCAGAAAACUACAGUUGCUCUUUCAAAUCUCAAUGGCCCCUAGUAAUUCCAAAGAUCCCUAGGGAUCUGGGUUCAAUUCUAAUCCAUCUAUAGAAAAGAUCAUCAGCUGCAAUUCCCAAGCAAUGAAGUCUUCUUUCUUGUCCUCUAGCAGAAGUCAACCCUCAGAUCAAGUGAGGGUCCACUAGCUUAUAAAGGACCUUGGUAUGUUUCUUUUUCCACCCCUAUAGAAAAACACACAUCCACACACACACAUCCACACACACCCACCCACACACAUCUCCAGCUACCCAGAUGUGUUUCCAGAAGAGAAAUUUAAUCUAAUUUACAUACUUCUAGGUACAUUAAUAACCAGAAUGUGGCCACUGAAAAAAGUUAAAAGGUCAAUUGCCUCCCGGCUUUACUUGGCCCAGGACUCCAAAAUAAAAAUCAAUGCUCCUUAUUCUCUACACAAAACUAGUUUAAAAAAGUGGAAGGUCUAGGAAG